UUAAGUUAAUAAGGGCGCACGGUGGAUGCCUUGGCACUAGAAGCCGAUGAAGGACGUGACUAACGACGAAAUGCUUUGGGGAGCUGUAAGUGAGCAAUGAUCCAGAGAUGUCCGAAUGGGGGAACCCGGCAGGUAAUGCCUGUCACUCAUUACUGUUAAGGUAAUGUAGAGGAAGACGCAGUGAACUGAAACAUCUAAGUAGCUGUAGGAAGAGAAAGCAAAAGCGAUUGCCUUAGUAGCGGCGAGCGAAACGGCAAGAGGGCAAACCGAAGAGUUUACUCUUCGGGGUUGUAGGACUGCAACGUGGACUUAAAGAUUAUAGAAGAACUACCUGGGAAGGUAGGCCAAAGAGAGUAAUAGCCUCGUAUUCGAAAUAGUCUUUAUACCUAGCAGUAUCCUGAGUACGGCGAGACACGAGAAAUCUCGUCGGAAUCUGGGAGGACCAUCUCCCAACCCUAAAUACUCUCUAGUGACCGAUAGUGAACCAGUACCGUGAGGGAAAGGUGAAAAGUACCCCGGGAGGGGAGUGAAAUAGAACCUGAAACCGUGUGCCUACAACAAGUUCGAGCCCGUUAAUGGGUGAGAGCGUGCCUUUUGUAGAAUGAACCGGCGAGUUACGAUAUGAUGCGAGGUUAAGUUGAAGAGACGGAGCCGUAGGGAAACCGAGUCUUAAUAGGGCGCAUUAGUAUCAUGUCGUAGACCCGAAACCAUGUGACCUACCCAUGAGCAGGUUGAAGGUGAGGUAAAACUCACUGGAGGACCGAACCAGGGCACGUUGAAAAGUGCUUGGAUGACUUGUGGGUAGCGGAGAAAUUCCAAACGAACUUGGAGAUAGCUGGUUCUCUCCGAAAUAGCUUUAGGGCUAGCGUCGAUGUUAAGUCUCUUGGAGGUAGAGCACUGUUUGGGUGAGGGGUCCAUCCCGGAUUACCAAUCUCAGAUAAACUCCGAAUGCCAAUGAGAUAUAAUCGGCAGUCAGACUGCGAGUGCUAAGAUCCGUAGUCGAAAGGGAAACAGCCCAGACCACCAGCUAAGGUCCCAAAAUAUAUGUUAAGUGGAAAAGGAUGUGGGGUUGCACAGACAACUAGGAUGUUAGCUUAGAAGCAGCUAUUCAUUCAAAGAGUGCGUAAUAGCUCACUAGUCGAGUGACCCUGCGCCGAAAAUGUACCGGGGCUAAAACAUAUUACCGAAGCUGUGGAUACCUUUAUAGGUAUGGUAGGAGAGCGUUCUAUGUGCGAAGAAGGUGUACCGUGAGGAGUGCUGGAGCGCAUAGAAGUGAGAAUGCCGGUAUGAGUAGCGAAAGACAGGUGAGAAUCCUGUCCACCGUAAGACUAAGGUUUCCAGGGGAAGGCUCGUCCGCCCUGGGUUAGUCGGGACCUAAGGAGAGACCGAAAGGUGUAUCCGAUGGACAACAGGUUGAUAUUCCUGUACUAGAGUAUAUAGUGAUGGAGGGACGCAGUAGGCUAACUAAACCAGACGAUUGGAAGUGUCUGGCCAAGCAGUGAGGUGUGAUAUGAGUCAAAUGCUUAUAUCUUUAACAUUGAGCUGUGAUGGGGAGCGAAGUUUAGUAGCGAAGUUAGUGAUGUCACACUGCCGAGAAAAGCUUCUAGCGUUAAUUAUACUCUACCCGUACCGCAAACCGACACAGGUAGUCGAGGCGAGUAGCCUCAGGUGAGCGAGAGAACUCUCGUUAAGGAACUCGGCAAAAUGGCCCCGUAACUUCGGGAGAAGGGGCGCUGACUGAUGGUCAGCCGCAGUGAAUAGGCCCAAGCAACUGUUUAUCAAAAACACAGCUCUCUGCUAAAUCGUAAGAUGAUGUAUAGGGGGUGACGCCUGCCCGGUGCUGGAAGGUUAAGAGGAGUGCUUAGCGUAAGCGAAGGCAUGAAUUGAAGCCCCAGUAAACGGCGGCCGUAACUAUAACGGUCCUAAGGUAGCGAAAUUCCUUGUCGGGUAAGUUCCGACCCGCACGAAAGGCGUAAUGAUUUGGGCACUGUCUCAACGAGAGACUCGGUGAAAUUUUAGUACCUGUGAAGAUGCAGGUUACCCGCGACAGGACGGAAAGACCCCAUGGAGCUUUACUGCAGUUUGAUAUUGAGUAUCUGUACCACAUGUACAGGAUAGGUAGGAGCCUAUGACCUCGGGACGCCAGUUUCGAGUGAGGCGUUGUUGGGAUACUACCCUUGUGUUAUGGCUACUCUAACCCAGAUAGGUUAUCCCUAUCGGAGACAGUGUCUGACGGGCAGUUUGACUGGGGCGGUCGCCUCCUAAAAGGUAACGGAGGCGCCCAAAGGUUCCCUCAGAAUGGUUGGAAAUCAUUCGCAGAGUGUAAAGGUAUAAGGGAGCUUGACUGCGAGAGCUACAACUCGAGCAGGGACGAAAGUCGGGCUUAGUGAUCCGGUGGUUCCGUAUGGAAGGGCCAUCGCUCAACGGAUAAAAGCUACCCUGGGGAUAACAGGCUUAUCUCCCCCAAGAGUUCACAUCGACGGGGAGGUUUGGCACCUCGAUGUCGGCUCGUCGCAUCCUGGGGCUGUAGUCGGUCCCAAGGGUUGGGCUGUUCGCCCAUUAAAGCGGCACGCGAGCUGGGUUCAGAACGUCGUGAGACAGUUCGGUCCCUAUCCGUCGCGGGCGUAGGAAAUUUGAGAGGAUCUGCUCCUAGUACGAGAGGACCAGAGUGGACUUACCGCUGGUGUACCAGUUGUUCUGCCAAGAGCAUCGCUGGGUAGCUAUGUAGGGAAGGGAUAAACGCUGAAAGCAUCUAAGUGUGAAGCCCACCUCAAGAUGAGAUUUCCCAUGAUUUUAUAUCAGUAAGAGCCCUGAGAGAUGAUCAGGUUGAUAGGUUAGAAGUGGAAGUGUGGUGACACAUGUAGCGGACUAAUACUAAUAGCUCGAGGACUUAUCCAA
rnacentral:rRNA from 2 species